UACGUAGGGACCAAGCGUUGUUCGGAUUACUGGGCGUAAAGGGCGCGUAGGCGGCAAUUCAAGUCAUCUGUGAAAUCUCCGGGCUUAACUCGGAACGGUCAGAUGAUACUGCUUUGCUAGAGUGCGGAAGGGGCAAUCGGAAUUCUUGGUGUAGCGGUGAAAUGCGUAGAUAUCAAGAGGAACACCUGAGGUGAAGACGGGUUGCUGGGCCGACACUGACGCUGAGGCGCGAAGCCAGGGGAGCGAACGGG
rnacentral:rRNA from 1 species